UAGGGAAUAUUGGUCAAUGGAGGCAACUCUGAACCAGCCAUGCCGCGUGAACGAUGACGGCGCUAUGCGUUGUAAAGUUCUUUUAAAUAGGAAGAAAACCCCUCAUUUAUGAGGGACUGACGGUACUAUUGGAAUAAGCACCGGCUAACUCCGUGCCAGCAGCCGCGGUAAUACGGAGGGUGCAAGCGUUAUCCGGAAUCACUGGGUUUAAAGGGUGCGUAGGCGGGGCGGUAAGUCAGAGGUGAAAUCUCAUUGCUUAACAAUGGACUUGCCUUUGAUACUGCUGUUCUUGAAAUAUGUUGAGGUUGGCGGAAUGUGACAUGUAGCGGUGAAAUGCUUAGAUAUGUCAUAGAACACCGAUUGCGAAGGCAGCUGACUGGACAUUAUUUGACGCUGAGGC
rnacentral:rRNA from 1 species